rnacentral:rRNA from 1 species
GGGGGGGGGGGGGGGGGGGGGGGGGGCGGGGGGGGGGGGGGGGGGGGGCGGGGGUGGGGCGGUGGGGUGAGGGGCGGCCGGGUGGGGAGCACGUGGGCCACCUGCCCCUGACUGUGGGAGAGGCGCUGGGGACGGCGGCUAAGACUGGCGAUGUGAGGUGCCCGCCUGGUCUGCGUUUGGACAGCUUUUUCGGUUGUGGAUGGGCUCGCGGCCUAUCCGCUUGUUGGUGAGGUAAUGGCUCACCAAGGCGUCGACGGGUAGCCGGCCUGAGAGGGUGACCGGCCACACUGGGACUGAGACACGGCCCAGACUCCUACGGGAGGCAGCAGUGGGGAAUAUUGCACAAUGGGCGCAAGCCUGAUGCAGCAACGCCGCGUGAGGGAUGACGGCCUUCGGGUUGUAAACCUCUUUUAGCAGGGAAGAAGCGAAAGUGACGGUACCUGCAGAAAAAGCGCCGGCUAACUACGUG